UAAAUGUCUUUAAAGACAGAUGCUGGUUUUCUCACCAGGAGGGAGCCACCGCCCCGGGGACCCCGGGACAUCAGACCUGGCCCGCCACACGCCUGCCCCUUCACCUUUGCACACCGGACGCCAGGGCCCACACUGGACAAGGAGCUGGACAGAAGAGGUGAUGACAGUGGUCAGGCUCACCGUGACCACUUGGGAAACCCCACUGCUGCCACCGACUGCCACGGGGUGUGGGGACCCAGCACACAGGUGUGCCCCCCUCGGAAGCACAGGCCCCACGGGCCCGGCACCCCCAUGGAAAGGAGGCAGCCUGCUGCCCACAUUCCGGGAGCACGGGGACACAAACUGGCCUUCCUCCCACUUGGGCCGUUCCUCCUCCAACCUCCACCAGUGGCUUCAGCCAAGCGCAGACCCAUAGGCCCAGAAUUUAGAAGAAAAUGCCCUGAGGAUAGAAGGGGAGUCCCGAGAAUGUUUCUGAGAAACCCCAGGAUAUUCACAAGAGGUGGAAGGACCGCCCAGAAUUUGACUUACAGCUGCCACGUCAUUUCUGCGAGGUGCCAGGAGAAAGGGAGGGAGCCACGCGGACGCCCCAUCCCGGCUGCACUCCAGCCUCCGUCCGGGCAGCAUCAGCGCCUGGUGGCCUAGUCCCUCCUGCUCCUCUAGCCUGCCAUCUCUGCUCCAGACCAGUCUCCAUGCUGUUCCCUCCAGCCCGCCAUCUCCAGGAUUCAGACCGUGACCAGCUCCCCGAGAUGCUGGGCCCUGCCUGGCACCCUCCUGACGCUGACGCUCCCUCACCCUAACCAGCCCACGUGGCAGGUCCCGGCCAGAUUGGUCUGAAAUUUGGCAUCAUUUUGUCAAGUUGGUUAUCUUUUCAAACCUGCGGAAUGUCCCUAUUUCCUGCCCGAAGCGAUGCUUCUCUUCCCACAGGGGAGGUAGGAAGAGCGUCCACCCCCUCGGUAGCCGUGCGGACCCCACAGCUUCCCCACGAACAUUGUCGCCCUGACGGCCGCAGCACGGGAUUCAGAGAUCGCUGGAUUUAGCCCCCAAUUAUAGGUUGUCUCUGCUUAUUUAACAAUUAUUUUCACUCCCCAUUCCAAUAGGAAAUCCCUGGCAGGGAAAGGCAUAUACAUAGGAAAUCUCAAAUCAUAUGUGUGAAGGGACAGGGACAGAAGGAAACGUCGGGGAGCUGCCUCAAAAGCAGGAGAGCAGCAUGAAAUGUGACCCCGGCUCUUGAGAAGACGAUGGUUUGCUUGUCUGUCAGCCACAAAAAGAAGUAAACAUUUAAAUCACUUACUUAUACGUUUUGUUCACGCUUGCUGAGAAAGUACGGCAUAACGGGUGAGACCGUCCUGAGGUAGAGAAAGAAGGUGGGUUUCCAGCAGGAGUUUGGGGAAGGGUGACCCGGCUGGAGGUGGGGGAGGAGGGGCCAGGACUGCUUUGAUCCCAAUGUGCGCCUUCCUGCCUGUGCCUUUGUUUCCACUUCAGUAAACAAGAGUGUGAACUACACAGACCCUGUCUUCUGGGCCCUCGCUUCUUCUGGGAGGGGAGCGGAAAGGGAGCAAACAAGUAGCCGCCUCCCUGCUGGCCUGGGGGGUGGCGGCCUCGGGACUCCCGCCAAGGAGGAUACGGAGGCCAGUGCAGGGCUCCUCAGAAAGGAAGCGGGCACCAGCUCAGGAAGCCACUCAGACUCCCGCUGGUGGAGGACAGGGCAGCUACCCAGGGGACCCGGCCCAGAGCCGACACCAUGGAGGAAGAUGUCCAGGCUCACCUCAAGACGGCCCGUGCGGGGAGCAGGGACAGGCCAAGCAGGCCCGGAGCGAGUGGGGGAGAUGGCCCCUGCUAGCUGCAAGCCCCCUCCCGGGACAAGGACGCAGCCAGAUGGCUGUGGAUCAGAGAGCAAAGGCCCCGGGUCCCCGUGCAUGACCUAAAGAUGGAGGGGACAGGGCCCCCCUCACACGCCCUUAUGGAGAAUGAAUAGACUCUGCCCGUCAAGCGGCUACUUAGAUACCCAACACGUGGCAGAAUUUUAACAAUAAAGGAUGUCUCUGUGUGCAAGGUUUGCCUCUGGAGGACCUCGCCUCUCCUCAGCCCCCCACCAGUGUGACCACGGCGGGCAGGGAGAGGAGCAUGGGACCGGACUGCUUUACCACUUAUCAGUGGCUCCGGAGGUGGGCCUGGUGGGAGAGAGGGGUGAGACUAUCGAUUAAUGUAUGGUUUAUAUAUUCUUUUCGGUGGCUUUUGUGUUUGUUUGUUUGGGGAGAGAGGGAGAGAGCACAAGCAGGGGAAGGGCAGAGAAAGACGCAGAGACAGAGGAUCCCCAGCAGGCUCCACAUGGGUGUGGCACAGAGCCUGACGCGGGGCUCGAUCUCACGAACUGUGGGAUCAUGACUUGGGCCGAAAUCAAGAGUCAGACACUAAACUGACUGAGCCCCCCCAGGCACCCCAAGUUUGUAUAUUCUUUUAAAGAGGUAAACACAGGGGCGCCUGGGUGGCUUAGUCUGCUGGGUGUCCAACUUCGGUUCAGGUCAUGAUCUCACGGCUCGUGGGUUCAAGCCCUGUGUCGGGCUCUGUGCUGACAGCUCAGAGCCUGGAGCCUGCUUCAUAUUCUGGGUCUCCCUCUCUCUCUCUGCCCUCUCCCACUCAUGCUGUCUCUCUCUGUCUUUCAAAAGUAAAUAAACAU